GUCACACUCCCCUUAAUGGUGUGCCUCCUACCUCUAUUGUUGCAUUGCCGAGUGGAGCAGAUCCCCUAAAGGAGCCUCAGUUUUCUGUACCCGGCCGGACUGACAGGGAGUGCUCUCUCUGUGAGCACCUCCUGUCAGUCUGGCCAGGUACAGGAAACAGAAGUUCCUGUACUGCGCUCUGCUCCGCUACACUCUGUACACACUGACAGUCACACACUCAAUGACAAACACACAGACGUCACUGACAGACACAGACUCAUUGAUCUGACACACACUCAUUCAUUGACACUGACAGACCCACACUGAUUGACA